CCUACGGGUGGCAGCAGUGGGGAAUAUUGGACAAUGGGGGGAACCCUGAUCCAGCCAUGCCGCGUGUGUGAAGAAGGCCCUCGGGUUGUAAAGCACUUUCAGUGAGGAAGAACGCCUGGUGGUUAAUACCCAUCAGGAAAGACAUCACUCACAGAAGAAGCACCGGCUAACUCCGUGCCAGCAGCCGCGGUAAUACGGAGGGUGCGAGCGUUAAUCGGAAUUACUGGGCGUAAAGCGCGCGUAGGUGGCUUGAUAAGCCGGUUGUGAAAGCCCCGGGCUCAACCUGGGAACGGCAUCCGGAACUGUCAAGCUAGAGUGCAGGAGAGGAAGGUAGAAUUACCGGUGUAGCGGUGAAAUGCGUAGAGAUCGGGAGGAAUACCAGUGGAGAAGGCGGCCUUCUGGACUGACACUGACACUGAGGUGCGAAAGCGUGGGUAGCAAACAGGAUUAGAUACCCCAGUAGUC
rnacentral:rRNA from 1 species